rnacentral:misc_RNA from 1 species
GUUGAGAUCGUCGUCGGAAAGACCAACGCCGUGGAGAAUCGCCUGAGAGCCGCCCUGGGACUUCGGCUCGGUAAUGCGACAGCUGUAUUUGUUGAGCUUUUGAGAGGUAGUGGAACUGGGAGAUGGAGAGUCUACAAACACCGACGGCGGCGGAGAUGGCGUAGUGACAUUAGAAAUGGAAGCUCUGACGACAAGGGGACGGCUUCGUUGGACAUUGAUAGAGACAGAUGGUGUAAUUGUGGUGAAGGGGGUGGCGCGUGGUGAAGGAGAUAUGAUCGCCGAUUGCAUUUUGGCGCCGGAAAGAGACGGCGGCGGCGGCGGCGGCAGAAUCAGGGUUUAAGGAGGUUAUGG